rnacentral:tRNA from 1 species
UGCGGGGUAGUGUAAUGGUAGCACGAGAGACUUUGAAUCUCUAAAUCUAGGUCCGAUUCCUAGCCCCGCAGCCA